GGCCCCGGAGCGUACCGGGAGCCCGCACGGCUGCGGUGAAGCCGCCCGCCGCCCUCACCUUAAUGAGCGGCGAGACCUGCACCGGCGGAAUCAUCCUGCUGGUGGUGGCGGUGGUGGUGGUCGCGGCGGCGGCGGCAGCGGCGGGAAAUGACGCCUGCGAACCGGCGGCGGGGCGGGAGGCGGGCAGAGCUCGGCCCACCGCGGGGCGGGGCGGAGCGGAGCGGAGCUGCCGCCGCGGAAGCUGUUGGAGCCGUUCAGGUUGUGUCCGCCCAGCGCCGGGUUUCGGUGUCUGGUAGCUCGUUACCCGGGAGCUGGUACGUCGCAAAAUGGGCCGUGCCCGUUCUCCGCGACACAAAAUGGAGGAGCCGCGCCCGAGGAAUCCGGUUGAGUUUCGUGCUCUCUCGUAAGUGGCAAGAACUCAGAUGCUUGGAGCAUUACAAAUGAGAGGUCACUGCUGGAACAGAUAUGCCCGAAGAACCUGUGUUCAGCUAGCCUUGAAGACUGCACAUGGGUCACAGUUGCAACUCUCAUCUAAACCCAUGCUCAGCACCACUCAAGCACAAGUAGCUUUCAAAAUGCCUUCACAAGUUCUUGACUAUGCAGAAGAGACAUUGUAACCUUAAAAAAAAAAAAGGGAGACAGAGGGGGGACAGACUAGCAAUCUGUGUGCAGUGAUGCACCAUCCAGAAAUGCAGAGGUCUCCAUGCCUUUCAAGCCUUGCUCCCCAUCUUACAGCAGCAUAGCCAGCUUCGAUACCUGUGUUUGGCUGCCAUAAUGACUGCCCUAUGUCAGAAAAACGGGCAUUUUGCAGGGCAUCUGUUUGUGCACUUCGUAAUUGAUCAUCACUGCAGUUACAUGUCAAGCAGCAUUUUUUUCACAAGGGUAAUUCUGAAGGAAGGGAACAUGCUUUUCUUUGUAUCCCCUAUUUACCCAGUUUUUUCAAUUACAGGUUUUGGAGACAGGGUCUCAAGCAUGACCAGCUAAAACUUAAAUAUGCCCCAGUUAUGGCCAAUGAAGGCUUUAGUUUAGGUCAAUAUAGUCCAAACAUGAAGAUAAUGUGAGUCAAAAGAACUGAAGUUAAUGUUCUAACUUCACGUGCACUACACAGAAAUUUAGGACAGUGUUUCAGUAGGAGACAAACAUGCCUCCUCUUCUUCUAACAAUACAACCUUCCGUCUGGAGAGAGACAUCACGGACCUUAGGACAGUUAAAGAAAUUCUAACAAAAAUGCGCAAGGCAAGAAAAGCAAAUGGGAUUACAAUCUGCAUGAGAUGGAAAAUUGCUGUGCUAAAUUCACUUAACAAGCAUGUUAGAAGGAAGACCCCAAGGCUUACACAAGGGUAGAGAGCCAGCUUGGCAAACAUGAAGGCAUGCUCCUUGCCACCAUAUCUAGCAAAAGGAUGCAAAGUUUCCCUUUCAUGGAAGAGGGCUGUAGUCCAUAUUGCAAACUGGAAUAUGCUGGCAAAGAAAGUGAUAACACAGCUGACCUGAAUGGCUUCUAUUUCAUUGUGAGACUUCUCUGCAAACUCACUGGUCAGCUGGUAAGCUAGUGGAAGCCCACCAAUGAAAGCCAAUGAAAGUAUGUUAAGCAGUCCCAUUAAUCGUGUAGCUUUUGUAACAUAAAGGAAGAGUGAGUGAUGGACAAACCACAGGAGACCGAUGGUUACAAAUGAGCCAAAGUAGGCAAGGUAGUUUGGCCCAUAUUCACUUAAAGCUUCAAGAAGGCUGCCAUGGAAUUUCUCCUCAACUUCUCUGGGAUCAGGGACGUUGUCUUCACUGUGGAGAAAAAACUUACUUUACUUUGCAUAUUACUGUUACAAAAACACAUCUGGAGCAAAACUGAACUACGUUGUUUAACUUUGAGCAAGUAGAGAACAACAGGCAUCCACUUCUUAUUUUCCAAUUUGUAACUUAGAAACAGCAUUUCAAAUAACAGCUCUGCAAAUAAAUUAGAUCUGAAAGGAA